AGUUCUCGUUUGUGUUAAUGCUGUUGGAGUGGAUAAGAGGAAUGUGGGGCAAAUCCCCCCAAAAAUGGAAUGACUUGCGAAGCCAAGUAACAAAAAAAAAAAAUGGGUAUUUUAAACAAACAAAGGCGAGGAACUUCUGUUGGUCCUCAUGUUAACAUAGAAUUUAGCACCAUGGAGGAACUUUUGCCAGUGAACAAAUAGAAGGGGUUGCUGAUCAGAGACAAUACUUCACCGAUAGCACCACCAGUUGAGGAGCCCGAAAGACCAGCUGAUCAACCACCAACUGUUGCCGACAUAGCGCAGGAGACAAUUCCCCAAGAAAUUGAGACUGGGUCCAUUGAGGAAGAUAUCAACAAUGACAUAGGGUUCACUCCAGCUCAAACUCGCUUCUUAAAUGAUUAUACUGAGCGAAACCAGGCAAAUCUUAAGGCUAAUAAUGUGGAAACAGUAGAGGCCGUCUGGCUCCAAAUACUACUUACCAACAGACCACACAAUAGCUGCAUAAGAUGACCUGGGUAGCUGAAGGAGAGAUCCAUACAUGCAAUCACACAUCUUAUCCUUUGGAAAGGGGCUUAGAUGCGAUGGCCAACUUUCGGCCAAUGCAAGUAAGCUAUCUGUGUUUGAAUGUGUGCGACUGGCCCAAAAUUCAGAAUACAGAGGUGCUCUCUAAAAACACCGAAACCGAAAAGCUGAUUGUCAACUCCGAGAGGACGUCCCUUAUCUGUCAAGAAUUCAAAAACGUGGGUGAGGAUGUCCAAACAACCACGCACUGGGCAGUCCAAAAGCGUCACGUCAGAGAAAAGACAGUCCACAAAUGCCAGACAACGGGGGCAAACCUUCCAUCCUAUAGAACUUGUGGAUAUGGUUCGGCUCAUUGAUUAGCUGAGUGCCACACGUGCCCCAAGAGGGCAGGUGAACCAGCAAAAACAUGACAUAGUGUCUCAAGUAGCUACCUAUCUUAAGGAAAAAUAUGGAACAUUCCACACUCCCAAACAAGUAAAAAAACGGUCCUCCGACUUAAAGGUUCGUGAAACUCGGAGACUGGGGUCUAUUCGCCGACAGAUUACUGAAGAACAUGGCAAAAUGUACAGAUGAGGAGGAGCCAAGUGUUAGUGGCAAUUGCAACAAGCCAGAUGAGAAUCAGGAAAUGUUGGUUGGCCCGGAAACAGAAUAUUUUACAUUGCAUUUGCAACCCAUUGAUGAAAAAUUUGAACAACUUCCAGAGCCACAAAGGGAGAAUCCGUUUGGCUCCGAUUUGCAAACGUAUGCGGUUUCUAACCGGAUCUUAAACCGCAGUUGACUGCGCAGGUGCGCGAAACGAUUCGUCGACUGAGCCUCGCUGUAUGACCUGCACACAAUAAAUCACCCGAAGAAUGCCCGAGUGCCUCCAUAUCUUUUGUUUUAUUCCACGGCUCUUGCUGUCUGGAAGAGCACCGGUACAAGCGUAGG